rnacentral:rRNA from 1 species
GACGAACGCUGGCGGCGUGCUUAACACAUGCAAGUCGAACGGAAAGGCCCUGCUUUUGUGGGGUGCUCGAGUGGCGAACGGGUGAGUAACACGUGAGUAACCUGCCCUUGACUUUGGGAUAACUUCAGGAAACUGGGGCUAAUACCGGAUAGGAGCUCCUGCUGCAUGGUGGGGGUUGGAAAGUUUCGGCGGUUGGGGAUGGACUCGCGGCUUAUCAGCUUGUUGGUGGGGUAGUGGCUUACCAAGGCUUUGACGGGUAGCCGGCCUGAGAGGGUGACCGGCCACAUUGGGAGUGAGAUACGGCCCAGACUCAUACGGGAGGAAGCAGUGGGGAAUAUUGCAAAAAGGGCGGAAGCCUGAUGAAGGAACGCAGGGUGCGGGAUGACGGCCUUAGGGUUGUAAACCGCUUUCGCCUGUGACGAAGCGGGAGUGACGGUAAUGGGUAAAGAAGCAACGGCUAAAUACGUG